GAGUAACACGUAGGUAACCUCGCCCAGAAGCGGGGGACAACAUUUGGAAACAGAUGCUAAUACCGCAUAACAACGUUGUUCGCAUGAACAACGCUAAAAGAUGGCUUCUCGCUAUCACUUCUGGAUGGACCUGCGGUGCAUUAGCUUGUUGGUGGGGUAACGGCCUACCAAGGCGAUGAUGCAUAGCCUAGUUGAGAGACUGAUCGGCCACAAUGGGACUGAGACACGGCCCAUACUCCUACGGGAGGCAGCAGUAGGGAAUCUUCCACAAUGGGCGCAAGCCUGAUGGAGCAACACCGCGUGAGUGAAGAAGGGUUUCGGCUCGUAAAGCUCUGUUGUUAAAGAAGAACACGUAUGAGAGUAACUGUUCAUACGUUGACGGUAUUUAACCAGAAAGUCACGGCUAACUACGUGCCAGCAGCCGCGGUAAUACGUAGGUGGCAAGCGUUAUCCGGAUUUAUUGGGCGUCAAGAGAGUGCAGGCGGUUUUCUAAGUCUGAUGUGAAAGCCUUCGGCUUAACCGGAGAAGUGCAUCGGAGACUGGAUAACUUGAGUGCAGAAGAGGGUAGUGGAACUCCAUGUGUAGCGGUGGAAUGCGUAGAUAUAUGGAAGAACACCAGUGGCGAAGGCGGCUACCUGGUCUGCAACUGACGCUCAGACUCGACAAGCAUGUGUAGCGAACAUGAUUAGAUACCCCGGUAGUCCAUGCCGUACACGAUGAGCGCUAGGUGUUGGAGGGUUUCCGCUCCUUCAGCGCCUGAGCUGACGAAUCAA
rnacentral:rRNA from 1 species